rnacentral:rRNA from 1 species
AGAGUUUGAUCCUGGCUCAGGACGAACGCUGGCGGCGUGCCUAACACAUGCAAGUCGAACGAAGUAUGUUUUUCGAAAUGUACUUAGUGGCGGACGGGGGGAGUGGCGGACGGGUGAGUAACGCGUGAACAAUCUGCCCUAUACAAAGGAAUAGCCUCGGGAAACUGGGAUUAAAACCAUAUAACACUUUUAGGCCGCAUGGCUUGGAAGUCAAAUUGAUUAAGAGGUAUAGGAUGAGUUCGCGUCUGAUUAGCUAGUUGGUGAGGUAAUGGCUCACCAAGGCGACGAUCAGUAGCCGGCCUGAGAGGGUGAACGGCCACACUGGAACUGAGACACGGUCCAGACUCCUACGGGAGGCAGCAGUGGGGAAUAUUGCACAAUGGGGGAAACCCUGAUGCAGCGACGCCGCGUGAGUGAAGAAGGUCUUCGGAUCGUAAACUCCUGUCCUUGGUGGAAAGAAAUGACGGUACAAUAAGAGGAAGCCACGGCUAACUACGUGCCAGCAGCCGCGGUAAUACGUAGGUGGCAAACGUUGUCCGGAAUUACUGGGCGUAAAGAGUGCGUAGGUGGAUUUACAAGCCUUUGGUGAAAGGCUACGGCUUAACCGUAGUAAGCCUUAGGAACUGUAAGUCUUGAGUGCAGGAGAGGAAAGCGGAAUUCCUAGUGUAGCGGUGAAAUGCGUAGAUAUUAGGAGGAACACCAGUGGCGAAGGCGACUUCCUGGCUUGUAACUGACACUGAGGCGCGAAAGCGUGGGGAUCAAACAGGAUUAGAUACCCUGGUAGUCCACGCCGUAAACGAUGAGUACUAGGUGUCGGGAUCGCGAGGUCUCGGUGCCGCAGCUAACGCAUUAAGUACUCCGCCUGGGGAGUACGGUCGCAAGAGUGAAACUCAAAGGAAUUGACGGGGGCCCGCACAAGCGGUGGAGUAUGUGGUUUAAUUCGAUGAUACGCGAGAAACCUUACCUGGUCUUGACAUGCUGGGAACCCUUAAGAGAUUAGGGGGUGCCUGCUUGCAGGAGGGGAGACAGGUGGUGCAUGGUUGUCGUCAGCUCGUGUCGUGAGAUGUUGGGUUAAGUCCCGCAACGAGCGCAACCCUUAUCUUUAGUUGCCAGCACGUAAUGGUGGGCACUCUAGAGGGACUGCCGGUGACAAACCGGAGGAAGGUGGGGAUGACGUCAAAUCAUCAUGCCCCUUAUGAUCUGGGCUACACACGUGCUACAAUGGCCGGUACAACGAGAAGCGAAACCGCGAGGUGAAGCAAAUCUUUUAAAGCCGGUCCCAGUUCGGAUUGCAGGCUGAAACUCGCCUGCAUGAAGUUGGAGUUGCUAGUAAUCGCGGAUCAGCAUGCCGUGGUGAAUGCGUUCCCGGGUCUUGUACACACCGCCCGUCACACCAUGGAAGUUGGGGGGACCCGAAGCCAGUGAUCCAACCGUAAGGAGGAAGCUGUCGAAGGUAAAACCAAUGACUGGGGUGAAGUCGUAACAAGGUAACC